GAUCUCCCUACUGGUGACGUCAGUGCGCAGAGCGAAGAGGUUCCCCCUGACGCAGCGUCCUGGCUCAGUCCCAGCACAGCACAGACUGGGCGUGGCGCGGCGGGCCACACCCCCUUCUCAUGCCAAGUGACCUUUUGACAGCAGCGGAGCCGGUUGCUAGGAGACAGGAGCUGGGUUCGAGUGUACUGUAUGUGUACACAGUAUGGACGGGGUGGGCUGCUCGCUUGGUAGAACCUCAUUAAGGAGGCCGAGCACAACGGGAAGCUGCUGCUGCUGGGAGCCCAGACCAACCCAGUUCUCAGCCCCCCUCCCCUUCUGUUGCCCAAUCCCCCUCUUCUUCCCAGUCCCCUUCUCAGCCCCCCUCCCCUUCUGUUGCCCAAUCCCCCUCUUCUUCCCAGUCCUCUUCUCAGCCCCCCUCCCCUUCUGUUGCCCAAUCCCCCUCUUCUUCCCAGUCCCCUUCUCAGCCCCCCUCCCCUUCUGUUGCCCAAUCCCCCUCUUCUUCCCAGUCCCCUUCUCAGCCCCCCUCCCCCUCUCUUUACCAAUACCCCUCUCUGUCCCCCUCCCCCUCUGAAGGACAAACUACCACUCCGGCCCCCUCUCUUUCCUAGUCCCCCUCUCUGGCCCACUCCCGCUCUGUUGCCCAAACAGCCUCUCCGCCCCCCUCCCCCUCUCAAUCUGACCCACCCUCUGAAAAAAGCACCCCAAUCCCUCCUCCUUCACAAUCCCUCCUUCUUCCCCAAUCCUGCCUCCUUCCCCAAUCCAACCUCCUUCCCCAAUCCAACCUCCUUCCCCAAUCAACCCUCCUACCCCCAUCCAGCCUCCUUCCCCCAUCCAGCCCCAUUCCCCACCCAGUGAGUGGGCAGCAGAAGCCCCAGCGGAGAUUCCGGGGAGUCCACAUGUGGCAGAUGAUAAUGGUGCCGUUGGAGGUCCCACAAGCCUGGCAGGCAUCGUGGCCAGCCUAAAGGGACAUUUGCAGGCAAUGCUGUCUGACCUUGAAAGGCUGGAAAAUUUUUGAUAAUUUAUUUUUAAAAAGUUUACAC